GGGACCUGGACGGCCUGGGUCUGUAGCCGUGGGCCCUCCACCCAGGCUCCGCAAGCCCAUCCUACAUCUCCCCGGGCAGGUGUGUUUGCAGGAACAGUCUGGGCACCAUCGUCGUUUCUGACCCCAGGAUCCUUGCGUAGCUUGAAUAACCACCUCUUCAGCCCGCCUUGCUAAGGUUACUGCAUAAUCCCUGCAUUCCUGUCAAGAAGGAUUAGCCAUUUUCUCAGGUGGGAGGAUUCCAGACUCACUGGGCUACUGUCUAGAUCUGCAGUCUCAAUAGCAAUUUUUGAAUCUACUUCCGGCGCUCUGAGACAAGAGGACGUCCUUCUCCCUGGGGACCACCGUGGCAGGUAAAGGAGCCCACGGGGCGGAGACGGCAGGCUGAGGCUGAAUGCUGAGGACACUGGGAGCAGUCACCUUAGUAAACGGCAAGCUUGUCUCUGCUGCUGUCACACUUGCCUCUGCUGUUGAAGACGACAUCACUCUAGCCUCUCCCCACAGGGGUAUGGAGGCCCCCCAUCCUUGGGCUGAGCUGGCUAGUGCUCCUGGAAGUGACUAAAAGGCAGAGAGGUUGCUACUCCUGUCCCUCCCAGGACGGAGGCUGCCGUCCUCUGGAACAGGUGCUUCAAACUGAUGACGGAGCGUGGGGCAAGCUGAGGGCAAAGUAGGCUGGCAGGAGCCCGCCUCCUCCGCAGGUGGAAUAUGGGCGAUAUUCCUUGGACACUCUUGACUACCCAAGAACAAAGGAAAGGGGUUUAAGUGUUUGCCAUGGUGAUGUGGGAAACUAAGGCAAGUGAGAAAUUAAACUCCCUUGCUGCCUACAGCCCACUGACAAGUCCUUGAGGCCAGCAGAGUGACCUCCCUCUAGGAGCUCAGCUGCCUUGAUGAUGACACUUUGCUAUUGGCAAAAGGGAAUCUUGG